UGUAGGAGUGUGCUGGCAGGAUGUAAGGGUGUGCUGGUAGUGUGUAAGGGUGUGGAGCUGUAGGGUGUAGGAGCGUGUAGCAGUGAGGUGUAGAGGUGUAGGUGAGAGUCGGAGGAGAGUUAAUGUUUGAUGGGCGUAAUGUCGGGUUGGUGUCUUGUGUAAUAAUGUAGAUGCGUAAUGAGGUGUGUGUGUGUGUGUGUGGGUGUGUGUGGGUGUGUGUGUACAAGGUGAUGGUAAGUGAGCAAGAAGGCGGAGGAGGAAGCGUGGUAGGGGCGGGGGAGGAGGAGGAGGGGUAGGAGGAGGAGGAGGAAGGGCGGGUAGGUAGGUAGCGCUCCGUCCUCCCCUCACAACACAACACAACAGUAGGCGUCGCGAGCGAACAAGUGACGGUCGAGAAGCGCAGUAGCUCCCGGCUGACGCUCUGCCUCACACACCGCACACACACACACACACACACACACACACACACACACACACACACACACACACACACACACACACACACACACACACCCUGACCGGUCUCACUCACCCUCCCACCGCCCUGACCGGCCACGCGUGCACCCUCCUCUCAGUUGUGGUGUUCUACUCACUGCCUCACCACCACCUCCUCCCGCGCGCCGCCUCCCUCCCUCCGCCGUCCCUCCCGCCGCCGUGUGAGCCUGCCGGGAGUAAGCACGCCGUAGGGCACCCGCGGGAGGGAGAACACAACUUUGAAUCAGGAACAUAGCGCGGAUUUUUCUUUAUCGUAGUGGACGCUGUUCGCACGCUGCUGGCACCCUUACCUGUGGUCGUGACGUGACACUUGCGUCUUUUUUGGAGUGCCGCCGACGCCCUCGUGGCAGUGUGUCGUCCCUUCAGUGCUGCUUUCCCCUCCUCGCCCUCCGGGAAUUCUUCCCUCCACUAGUCUCCCGCUCACACAGGCAUUGAGGAAAACACGCUAAGUGGAACAGCAACAACGGCAACAACACCGCAACACACACACACACACACACACACACACACACACACACACACACACACACACACACACACACACACACACACACACACACACACACACACAAUCAUAGACAACGCUGAUAACAAAUAAUAAAACCGCUACAACAAAACAAAAGAAAUCUACCAACACCACUCAACAACAACAACAACAACAACAACAACAACAACAACAUUUAUAAUAACAAAAACUAACAGCAACUGAACACACACACACAGAGAGAGAGAGAGAGAGAGAGAGAGAGAGAGAGAGAGAGAGAGAGAGAGAGAGAGAGAGAGAGAGAGAGAGAGAGAGAGAGAGUAUAUUUAUUCAUCUUGCAAUGAAUUAUGUUAAAGAGCAAAGAGAAAACCUGAAUGGAGAAAAUACUUUGGGUUUUGUGGAAUUAUGUGCAAAGCCAGAGAUAAAUAAUUAAGAAAUACAAAAGAAAAGAAAGAAGGACAAGGUGCGAGAGAGAGAAGAAAAGGAAAAUAGAAAGAAAAAAACUAAACUCAAAAUACUCUUGCACACAACCCAGUUUGAAAAAAGAACAGAGAAAAAAGUGUAAGGAGAUUUGUUGACUAGAGAGAGAGAAAGAGAGAGAGAGAGAGAGAGAGAGAGAGAGAGAGAGAGAGAGAGAGAGAGAGAGAGAGAGA